GAUUCUUAGUUGCCAGCACGUAAUGGUGGGAACUCUAAGGAGACCGCCGGUGACAAACCGGAGGAAGGUGGGGAUGACGUCAAGAUCAUCAUGGCCCUUACGGCCAGGGCUACACACGUACUACAAUGGUAGGGACAGAGGGCUGCAAGCCGGCGACGGUAAGCCAAUCCCAGAAACCCUAUCUCAGUCCGGAUUGGAGUCUGCAACUCGACUCCAUGAAGUCGGAAUCGCUAGUAAUCGCAGAUCAGCAUUGCUGCGGUGAAUACGUUCCCGGGCCUUGUACACACCGCCCGUCACACCAUGGGAGUUUGUUGCACCAGAAGCAGGUAGCUUAACCUUCGGGAGGGCGCUUGCCAC
rnacentral:rRNA from 1 species